ACUGAAUUGUUGCUGCGGCAAUGACCUUAAUUACUUAAAAAAGUUAAAACUCAGUCAGAGAUCCAAGUCCCAGAGGCUAUAUGAUACAUCAAUUCUCUUUUAUUAAUCCCCAAACCCAAAUGAUCCUAGACCAGACCCUUGUGCCUUAACCUCCCUGGCUGGUCCUUAUUCAUGCUCGGUAGCUCCCUCUCGCUUCGCAGAACCCUCGUGUCCAGCUUCUCGGGAAUCAUGAGCUCGACCCUUUGCAAAAGUUUAAAACUUGCUGAGGUUGUUUAACACGUAUCUGUGUGAUUAACCAAUUUCAGGCAGAUGAUGAGGCAGAUUCAAAUGAUGUUGACAAGUUCUACGAUCGUGAAGAGGAGGAAUAUGAUUCAUCUGAUCAUUUCGAACAUGAGUUUUGGGAAGAUGAUACUCUACCGAAGUACUGAAUCACCGGUUUUAGAUGAGAGAAGAUUUUGGCUGUUGUGUACAGAUUCUAGAAGUUUUUUUUAAUGUAAAUCUUUAUAUAUAAAGUAUACCUUGAAUCUCUCCCACAAUGUCCAGCUAUG